CGCUGGCGGCGUGCCUAAUACAUGCAAGUCGAACGAACUCUGGUAUUGAUUGGUGCUUGCAUCAUGAUUUACAUUUGAGUGAGUGGCGAACUGGUGAGUAACACGUGGGAAACCUGCCCAGAAGCGGGGGAUAACACCUGGAAACAGAUGCUAAUACCGCAUAACAACUUGGACCGCAUGGUCCGAGUUUGAAAGAUGGCUUCGGCUAUCACUUUUGGAUGGUCCCGCGGCGUAUUAGCUAGAUGGUGGGGUAACGGCUCACCAUGGCAAUGAUACGUAGCCGACCUGAGAGGGUAAUCGGCCACAUUGGGACUGAGACACGGCCCAAACUCCUACGGGAGGCAGCAGUAGGGAAUCUUCCACAAUGGACGAAAGUCUGAUGGAGCAACGCCGCGUGAGUGAAGAAGGGUUUCGGCUCGUAAAACUCUGUUGUUAAAGAAGAACAUAUCUGAGAGUAACUGUUCAGGUAUUGACGGUAUUUAACCAGAAAGCCACGGCUAACUACGUGCCAGCAGCCGCGGUAAUACGUAGGUGGCAAGCGUUGUCCGGAUUUAUUGGGCGUAAAGCGAGCGCAGGCGGUUUUUUAAGUCUGAUGUGAAAGCCUUCGGCUCAACCGAAGAAGUGCAUCGGAAACUGGGAAACUUGAGUGCAGAAGAGGACAGUGGAACUCCAUGUGUAGCGGUGAAAUGCGUAGAUAUAUGGAAGAACACCAGUGGCGAAGGCGGCUGUCUGGUCUGUAACUGACGCUGAGGCUCGAAAGUAUGGGUAGCAAACAGGAUUAGAUACCCUGGUAGUCCAUACCGUAAACGAUGAAUGCUAAGUGUUGGAGGGUUUCCGCCCUUCAGUGCUGCAGCUAACGCAUUAAGCAUUCCGCCUGGGGAGUACGGCCGCAAGGCUGAAACUCAAAGGAAUUGACGGGGGCCCGCACAAGCGGUGGAGCAUGUGGUUUAAUUCGAAGCUACGCGAAGAACCUUACCAGGUCUUGACAUACUAUGCAAAUCUAAGAGAUUAGACGUUCCCUUCGGGGACAUGGAUACAGGUGGUGCAUGGUUGUCGUCAGCUCGUGUCGUGAGAUGUUGGGUUAAGUCCCGCAACGAGCGCAACCCUUAUUAUCAGUUGCCAGCAUUAAGUUGGGCACUCUGGUGAGACUGCCGGUGACAAACCGGAGGAAGGUGGGGAUGACGUCAAAUCAUCAUGCCCCUUAUGACCUGGGCUACACACGUGCUACAAUGGAUGGUACAACGAGUUGCGAACUCGCGAGAGUAAGCUAAUCUCUUAAAGCCAUUCUCAGUUCGGAUUGUAGGCUGCAACUCGCCUACAUGAAGUCGGAAUCGCUAGUAAUCGCGGAUCAGCAUGCCGCGGUGAAUACGUUCCCGGGCCUUGUACACACCGCCCGUCACACCAUGAGAGUUUGUAACACCCAAAGUCGGUGGGGUAACCUUUUAGGAACCAGCCGCCUAAGGUGGGACAGAUGAUUAGGGU
rnacentral:rRNA from 2 species